UACGAAGGGGGCUAGCGUUGCUCGGAAUCACUGGGCGUAAAGCGCACGUAGGCGGAUCUUUAAGUCAGGGGUGAAAUCCUGGAGCUCAACUCCAGAACUGCCUUUGAUACUGGGGAUCUCGAGUCCGGGAGAGGUGAGUGGAACUGCGAGUGUAGAGGUGAAAUUCGUAGAUAUUCGCAAAAACACCAGUGGCGAAGGCGGCUCACUGGCCCGGUACUGACGCUGAGGUGCGAAAGCGUGGGGAGCAAACAGG
rnacentral:rRNA from 1 species